UAAACGAUAUAUAAAUAUUUAUAUUCAAAGGUAUGCAUUCUUUAAAAAAAUUAAGUUGCAAUAUACAUUUUCCACGCUAAGGGGCUCGCUACGUUCCUCGUUAUUGUUUGAAACUUGUGUGUAACUCAUUCAAUUUUAAAGCAUAUGGACAUUCAGACGAUUCCAUUUGUAAAGCAGAUCCACCAGAAAUGAAUGUCGAAUUACCUUUAGAUGUAUGAAUCAGUUAAUUGGCGCCAGCUUGCCAAAAAUUGACAUGUCACCUCUAGAUGAAAUACAACUUGGUCACCAAGGAAAACUACCCGCUCAACUUUCGUCCACUUCGAUUGUUUUAUUGAUUUAUUUUUAACAACAUCGUUCCAGUCGGAGCACUGACAUGUCGCCUCUUCAAGCUCAUCCGUCGAAAUAUCUGAGCAUACAUUCCACGGAUCAUCUUGAGCUAUGGCUGAGCCGAGCAGCAUUAGCCCAGGGUUAAAACCCUUCAAGGAUUAUACAUGUUUUUCCCCUCGCUUUGGAUCAUUGGGUUUAUUAUUGUGUAAUAUCAUUAUUAAAUAAUAAAUGCAAUAUGCAUAUAACCUUAAAAUCACUGUCAGCAUCCUACUUUUGUUAUUCCUUAAGUGCAUGAGAACAAUUAACUCAUUCAGUCACUGACAGACAUUUCAAUAUGCAAAUCCGAAAAAAGUUUUAUUCUUCUGUUACUUUUAAUGAAAUUUAUAUCAAAUGUAGACUUAUUAAAGAUUGUUGGCUUUCCGCGGUCAACUGUGUAACCCUGUUUGGGGACGAUGCGUGUAAAUUUCGGAGAAAUUAGGAGUUUACAUUUUGCCCUCUUAAUGUUCUAUUCUGCCCUGUCCGCCGCACUUGGAGCAAUAAAUUUCGCUUUCGCUUUGUUAAGGAGUAAAUUUCACAUCAUUUAGAAAUUGACUGUUCGGAACAAAUCUUGCUGCAAACUCUUCGUGCUGUCCAAUAUUUCUUCCUCAAAUCUCAGGAGCAACUUGCAGUCGUUCUCUCAGAAUCUCAUGUGAAAGAUAACUUUCCCACUAAUGCGAAGUAUAAACCGGCAGGCGAGAAUCCCUGUUAUUUAUACCCGCUGUCGGUUGUUUCAAUAUUCUAAUUCCCAUGUCUGUUCACAAUUAAUAGUUGACAUUUAUUUUUGGAUGAGACCCAAUUCUUUAAAAGCUUUAUUUCGUGCAACGGAAACCCUUUCACAAAUAAGUAUGUAGACACAUACAACUAUGUUUAACAUGUCAGUAAGUUUCUUUAGUCACCAACGGAUGACGGUUGAUUUUGAUUAAUUUCAUGUACAAUGUUUGUCUUCGACCUGGGAAUUAAUCAAACGUUACUUUCUAGUUGGUGGCACAGCUUCAGAAAGAGAUGGUUUGUCAAAUAAAAGACCAACAAUAAGG